GCCAGUGUGAAAGUUAUUUAAAGGUAGAGAAUCAAAAAAAAAAGAAGAGAGAAGUGGAUCAAAAAGAGAGAAUCUUUCAAAAUUGUGAGCUUCAUUGAAUAUCCAAAAAAAAGAGAAAAAAAGAAAGAAACCAAGCUUCAAAUUUAGAGAGCAUUUAUGAGAAAUCUUCCACAACAUCUCAAGCUUCCUCUCAGCAUUCAAAGAAGAGUGUUCAAGCUUCUAAGAAAGCAACGAUUCAACCUCUUUUUCGGGCACAAAAGAAUGCUUCUCUUGUUUUUGUUUUAUACUGAAAUUUUUAUACUUGUACUUUGAUUUCUUUACAAG
rnacentral:lncRNA from 1 species